GUCGACAGGUGGACAUCCCCCCAGCAUUUCAGUUGCUGCGUCACAUUAUCCUCAGAGUCGUGUUAGAUUGUAUGGUGAUAUGUUAUACUAGUAACUUACAAGUAUACAGUAAGCCAUAGGACAAGACAUCGUCGAGGUCUUCAAGAUGGUGUUGCCUGCUUGGAGGACUUCCGUUCUUCUGGCAUCUUUGUCUCUUCUCUUGCUUCUGGCCGCCUCUAACGGAGCCAAGUCCAAGACCUUCCUCAGCAACAAUGACGUGCCGCAGUAUGAAUUGACAGGAUCCUCGAGCUCCCUCCCCGCUGGAUCCCACAGAGUACAGAGACACUAAAAGUAAGACGAGGAAGGGUGCUUCUAAAUUGAGAGACACCAAGUCUUCCGCAUCUAGUGACCUUUCUCUGCCUUAUGAAGCGGAGGAAAUUUUGGAGGUGGAUUCGUCAGGGAUACCAGAUCGCCCCUCUGAGAUGCCCGGCCUUGGGCCAUUUAAGGGAGGCCAAGGCAAUGGAAGACGCAAGAAGCUCCAUCAAUACGGUGAGUGU